UACGAAGGGGGCUAGCGUUGCUCGGAAUCACUGGGCGUAAAGGGUGCGUAGGCGGGUCUUUAAGUCAGGGGUGAAAUCCUGGAGCUCAACUCCAGAACUGCCUUUGAUACUGGGGAUCUUGAGUCCGGGAGAGGUGAGUGGAACUGCGAGUGUAGAGGUGAAAUUCGUAGAUAUUCGCAAGAACACCAGUGGCGAAGGCGGCUCACUGGCCCGGUACUGACGCUGAGGUGCGAAAGCGUGGGGAGCAAACAGG
rnacentral:rRNA from 1 species